GAUAACUUCACCGGUCUCCGGCUUGCUCUUUGUGACGCUCAAGGUGAUUUUCCCUGAUGAAGAUGCAGCACUCUUGUUGUUCUCCUUGGCUAGCUCUUCCUCAUCCCCUCUUCCUCCAGCAGGCAAGGCCACUGCAUUAUCGUACCCGGUUGAGCCACCCCUUCCCUUUGGGUCCAAGAAAGAUGAGCCACGGUAGGAUGGUACAAGGAAGUCUCCUCCAAAGCUAUCAGGUUUGCCUGAUGCAACCAAUUGCUUGAUGGUGAACAGGAAAGGCACACGCUCACCACCAGGAAGCUGAACUGUGACGGCAGCAUAAUCAAUCCCAUCUUUCUCCUCGAAUUUGACGGUGCCAUCGGUGGAUACCUCGAAAGGGCCCUCGAUUUCGUCAAGGGUGUAGGUUAAACGGGUCAUGAGCUUGGUGUUUUGGAACUCAGGAGGGGCAUUCUUGUUAACACCCUCAGCCUUGACAGUGAAGGAAGUGGGCUCCAAGCAGAACUUCUUGGC
rnacentral:lncRNA from 1 species